GCGGAUGUAGCCAAGGAUUAGGCAGGGGAUUGUGAAUCCACCAUGCGCG
rnacentral:tRNA from 1 species